rnacentral:rRNA from 1 species
GUGGGGAAUCUUAGACAAUGGGGGCAACCCUGAUCUAGCCAUGCCGCGUGAGUGAUGAAGGCCUUAGGGUCGUAAAGCUCUUUCGCUGGGGAAGAUAAUGACGGUACCCAGUAAAGAAACCCCGGCUAACUCCGUGCCAGCAGCCGCGGUAAUACGGAGGGGGUUAGCGUUGUUCGGAAUUACUGGGCGUAAAGCGCGCGUAGGCGGAUUGGAAAGUUGGGGGUGAAAUCCCGGGGCUCAACCCUGGAAUGGCCUUCAAAACUCCCAGUCUUGAGGUCGAGAGAGGUGAGUGGAAUUCCGAGUGUAGAGGUGAAAUUCGUAGAUAUUCGGAAGAACACCAGUGGCGAAGGCGACUCACUGGCCCAAUACUGACGCUGAGGCGCGAAAGCGUGGGGAGCAAACAGGAUUAGAAACCCUGGUAGUCC